ACGCAAGCACAUUGAUGAUGCUAAGCGUGACAGCUUCGACGUACGUAAGCCCAUCGGCCAUAGUCGACGAUCUUUAAGAAAUCAUAAAUAUCAAAACAAAUAAGGUGGAGGAGGCAUAUGGAAGAAGAAGACGAAGAAUAAGAACUAGAAGAAGAAGCAGAAGAAAAAGUAAGAAAGAAGAAGAAC